GUUGAUUGCCACACACCUGUUUUGCCACUUCCACCUGAGUUGCCACAGGAUGCAGGUUAUGUUGGGUAGGGUCAGCAAGCAGCACAUUUGAUGUGCCUGUUGCUACUCACCACUUGUGUGAGAGGAGUUUUGCGCCCUUGGUAGGCGAAGCGAGCCACGCCCUGAAGCCGACCCAGACCAGUCGCCAGCAAAAAAUACUGGCAUUUUGUGUUUCUGCAAGCCAAGAUGCAUUGAAAUGUCACAUUUUCAAGAUUCGUGACAUAACAUAAAGCGAGCGAAAAACGCUGCGUUAGGAGGCAGGUGGGGUAGUAGAUGGCUCAACAGGACUCAGGGCUCUCAAGUCUCACGCAUUGGGCGUGAGACAUGCAUUUCAACUCGUCCACAAGCUCACUAUUUUUUAUAACAGUGGAAUAGGUCAAGAAAUCAAUCCUUGCAUUCUGUGGCAUCUUUUCAACCUUGAUUUUCAUCUUUAUAUGCAAAAGUAAUCAAUUAAAGUCGUUUUAC